rfam:Equus caballus chromosome X, whole genome shotgun sequence.
UGGGGCAUGAACCUGGCAUACAAUGUAGAUUUCUGUGUUUCUUGGGCAACAGCUACAUUGUCUGCUGGGUUUCAGGCUACCUGG